CUUAUGUCUACAGCUGCCUUUUUACUGAUAACAAAGUUUUGAUUAAAGUUGUAUUGGCGUCGCUAAUAAAUUGGCAUUUUACAGAUGUUAUAAACAUGUCACAACAAUCAGUGACUGGAUAGCAAGGACAAUAGUGGGAUUUUCAAAACAAUAAAAGGACAAUGGAAGAUUCUGAUCACUGGGUCAUGACUGGAUGACAUGGAGAACAGUGAGAUUUUCAAAACAAUGAAAAGACAAUGGAACAUUCUGAUCACUGGAUCAUGACUGGAUGACAUGGAGAACAGUGAGAUUUUCAAAACAAUGAAAAGACAAUGGAACAUUUUGAUCACUGGAUCAUGACUGGAUGGCAUGGAGAACAGUGGGAUUUUCAAAACAAUGAAAAGACAAUGGAACAUUCUGAUCACUGGAUCAUGACUGGAUGGCAUGAAGAACAGCGAGAUUUUCAAAACAAUGAAAAGACAAUGGAACAUUCCGAUCACUGGAUCAUGACUGGAUGGCAUGGAGAACAGUGGGAUUUUCAAAACAAUGAAAAGACAAUGGUACAUUCUGAUCACUGGAACAUGACUAGAUGGCAUGGAGAACAGUGGGAUUUUCAAAACAAUGAAAAGACAAUGGAACAUUCUGAUCACUGGAUCAUGACUGGAUGGCAUGGAGAACAGUGGGAUUGUCAAAACAAUGAAAAGACAAUGGAACAUUUUGAUCACUGGAUCAUGACAGGAUGGCAUGGAGAACAGUGGGAUUUUCAAAACAAUGAAAAGACAAUGGAACAUUCUGACCACUGGAUCAUGACUGGAUGGCAUGGAGAACAGUGGGAUUUUCAAAACAAUGAAAAGGCAAUAGAACAUUCUGAUCACUGGAUCAUGACUGGAUGACAUGGAGAACAGUGGGAUUUUCAAAACAAUGAAAAGACAAUAGAACAUUCUGAUCACUGGAUCAUGGCUGGAUGACAUGGAGAACAGUGGGAUUUUCAAAACAAUUAAAAGACAAUGGGAC